GUCCUCAGCUGACUGGAUGGCACCCAUUCACAUUGGCUGAGGGCAAUCUUCUUGAACUUUCUUGAGAUGCAGAACUGACUUCAAGUGGCUCCUCUGAACUUCUCGUGAUGUGAAAUAACACUUCCUUCCUCAUGCUGAAAUCCACUGGAGUUAGUUUUCUCUAACUGAAACCAAAGGAGAGAUGCACGAUGGAGACCAGCUUGUCUAGCACCUUUAGUACAGAAAAGGAAACUGAGAAGGUUGGAGACCUGUCCACGGUCACCUGGCAAAUUAGUGGCAGAGUUGGGCCAAAAACCCACAUCUGGAGAAGACACCAACACAGACCUCUCAGUCAUGCUUGGCUCCUUGCUAUCUCUCACAAUCCACAUUCCAUCUGCCUGGAAGCCCUGAAGCCCUCCCUUCAAGAUACGUUGAGGAUCCAACCACUUCUUCACUGUCCCACUGCCUCCAUCCUCCUUUCUGUGGGCAGGGGUGAGCUGACCGCCUCCUCGCUGCAUCUGUCUCUGUCUUCUCUCCUUGUGAGUCUGGGCAGGCCAGGCUGUGCUGUGGUAACCAGUGAUCCCCAGAGCUAA
rnacentral:lncRNA from 1 species